rnacentral:lncRNA from 10 species
GUGAACUAUCAACUUUAAUCUUCAUUACGAAUCCUUUUCAUGUACUGAGUAUUCUCUAAACAACCAGAUAGAUAUUCGAAGACUCCGUACCUUUCAGAAGUUUAUAGAGAUUGGCAUUGACAUCAACCAGAUAAUCAAGAGUUAAAAAGGUGAUCCACUGUGUGAUACAUAAGACAAGUGUCCUUCAUAAGAAAAUUGUAAGUGUCUAUUGAUGGAAAUGCUUCUCUUUAGGGAGUUCUUUUUCUUCUCUGGAGCUUUCUAGGACACAGAACUUUAUGAUGGAUAAACCAAGGGAAAGAGGAGAACAGACACCAGAAACUGGCCAUGGGAAGAGUUCUCAAUAGGGCUGAUGCUAACAAGCUCAGUGAUACUUGGUCCCUGCACCAAGACCUUGGCUGACAAGAAAAACCUCCAUGCAAUGGUGAUGGGUAUCUCAUUCAACCCAGCAUUCGCUUUAUCUUUGCCAGAAAGUUCCAGUGAUGGUUUAUAAAUAAGACCCCCAAACUUUACUCUUUAUUUGGUAUAGUGCCAGUAAACAUACUAACUUAGAGCGUAGAAUAUUCUUGGUCUACAAUUAAAACCACAUUUAAAUUUAUUUGUUGAACAGUAGUCAUAUUUCAUACAUAAUGUAAUUGAGAAAUUACUUAAUAAACUUUUAAUUUGACUUUGGAAUUGUCUUGUUAGGUUCCUGAAUAUUCUAUUAGAAAAUGAACCACGAGUCAGUGAACAAGUCAGAAUUAAAGCAACAGUCUAAAUCUUUUUGUAGACUUUAGUAUAAAAUUAUCUAUAUAUACAUAUGUCUUCAUGCGUG